AUUGAACGCUGGCGGCAGGCCUAACACAUGCAAGUCGAACGAGUGGCGGACGGGUGAGUAAUGUCUGGGAAACUGCCUGAUGGAGGGGGCUAACUACUGGAAACGGUAGCUAAUACCGCAUCCCAUCGGAUGUGCCCAGAUGGUAUUAGCUAGUAGGUGGGGUAAAGGCUCACCUAGGCGAUGAUGCCUAGCGGGUCUGAGAGGAUGACCAGUCACACUGGAACGGAGACACGGUCCAGAAUCCGACCGGAGGCAGCAGUGGGGAAUAUUGCACAAUGGGCGGAAGGCUGAUGCAGCCAAGCCGCGUGUAUGAAGAAGGCCUUCGGGUCGUAAAGUACUUUAAGCGGCGAGGCGGUACCCGAAGAAGAAGCACCGGCUAACUCCGUGCCAGCAGCCGCGGUAAUAC
rnacentral:rRNA from 1 species